rnacentral:tRNA from 1 species
GGGGCUGUUGCUCAGUGCCAGAGUGCUUGCCUAGCAUGCAUGAGGCACUGGGUUUGAUCCUCAGCACCACA